rfam:Acinetobacter sp. ANC 3994 genomic scaffold acLZV-supercont1.9, whole genome shotgun sequence.
GCGGGAAUAGCUCAGUUGGUAGAGCAUAACCUUGCCAAGGUUGGGGUCGAGAGUUCGAGUCUCUUUUCCCGCU